rnacentral:rRNA from 1 species
AUUGAACGCUGGCGGCAGGCCUAACACAUGCAAGUCGAACGAGUGGCAGACGGGUGAGUAAUGUCUGGGAAACUGCCUGAUGGAGGGGGAUAACUACUGGAAACGGUAGCUAAUACCGCAUACCCUCAGAUGUGCCCAGAUGGGAUUAGCUAGGUGGUGGGGUAACGGCUCACCAAGGCGACGAUCCCUAGCUGGUCUGAGAGGAUGACAAGCCACACUGGAACUGAGAAACGGUCCAGACUCCUACGGGAGGCAGCAGUGGGGAAUAUUGCACAAUGGGCGCAAGCCGGAUGCAGCCAUGCCGCGUGUAUGAAGAAGGCCGUGGGGUUGUAAAGUACUUUCAGCGGGGAGGCGUUACCCGCAGAAGAAGCACGGGCUAACUCCGUGCCAGCCGCCGCGGUAAUUC